ACCCCUUCUUUCAAAAAAUGAACAGACACCGAAAACAAAAAAAGGGACAAAAAAAGAGGAAGGAUGGCAGAUCUCUUUCUCUAAAAAUGAAACCAGUAGCCGCCGACCCCUAAGAGAAAAAGGAUAGCCGCUCACCCCUAAGAAAACGAAUCUAGGUCUUUUCUCAAAUUUUCCCAAGAACCAUCAAUUUUAGUCAAUCUUACCUGUCUGAAAGAACCUAGAUUUUUUGCAAUCUUUAGCAUUUUAUCUUCGCCCAAUUUUGUGUAUACAUAGAGUGAUAGACUUUUGGAACAUAGCAUUAGACAAACGUUUUUUGUUGGGUUUUUGCUUGUUUUGAAGUUGGAAUGGACAUGGUCAGAUAGCUAGGAAAAAGAGAGGGUGUGAUGGAGUUUGAGUGAGGUCGCUUUGGUUUCGAGUUUUCGGGUGUCGAUUCGAGGUUCCAGUUCGCAAUUUCGGCGCUUCAGUCCAACGAUUGUUGCUUUGUUAUUCCGAUUGAGUUGCAAAUUUUCAGCUUUAUUCAGCAAUAAAAGAUCCAGGUACAUCUUAUCAGCAUCGGUGUUAGUGUGUGGUGUGACUUGCUUAUCGGAGACUUCAAGGUACACUUUCUCGCGUUCGCAUGUCUCGCAGUCCCCUUCUAUCCCGUCUUUUCCUUGUUCCUUUAAGUUCUUAUAGAUAGUGAUGUAUAGGAUUGUGCAAAACUUUGUAUUUAGAACUUGUUUUGCUAUUACUUG